CUUUAACUUCAUUCUGCUGGUGAACUCUGACAAUAAGUUGAUCAACACUUUGUGUGGCAGAACAGAUGAGACCGUGAUCUACCAAGAAUGCCUCCACACAGAUCCCAAAGGCAUUGAAGUUAACGGCCCAGGGUAACAUUGGACAGUGGGGAGAUUCAUUGGAUUGGAAUUCAUCCUAGGAAAGCUGAUAGCACUAGACUGUGCACAGAGGGACGCAACAAAGCUUCAAGAAGAGACAAGCAAAGCGACGGAGAAGGCGACAGGGAAGUUGAAGGAAGUACUGGAUCACUGCUCAGAUGAUUUGUUUAUGGCACAACAUGACUUUGAUCCCUUGACACGCUACGUUCGAGAGGGAUACUACAGUAGUGCAAGGGACGUGCUCACCGGAGAGACCAUUCCUCGCAUCCUCAAUUGCUUGAAAGUCUUCGACCAAUUCCCAGAUUUGCCUGCCCCUCCUUUGCUCCUUUCUGGCACUGUUGCUUCUAAUCAAUCUCCCUACGAUGCUGCCUCUAUCUUGGCCAACAUUUAGGGUUUGAAUUUUUUUAAAGUUCUCUGUGUCGUGCGAGAAAUUGAUGAUUAAUGGAAUGAUUAUAUUAGUACUUUUCCUGGCCAGCAUUACGUUUGAUGUGUCUGUCUGUAUAUGAACUUUGAACAGAGCCUUUGGCUUCUCAGCCUCUCUUUUAAUUUCAAAUUAGAAGCUCAGAAAUAAUGGUUGUUAGUACUUUCUUAAAUCCCAAGGUUUAGCUCAUU